rnacentral:sRNA from 1 species
ACAAUCUAAGAUUCUAAUAAAAAUGCUUGCACUGUCAUUAUCUCAAUUUUCUGCAAUUUUCUUUCUCCUUGUGUGUAUACAGUAUGGGUAUGGCCCUUAUCAGCCAGUUCCAGAACAACCACUAUACCCACAACCAUACCAACCACAAUACCAACAAUAUCCCUUUUAAUAUCAUCAGUAACUGCAGGACAUGAUUAUUGAGGCUUGAUUGGCAAAUACGACUUCUACAUCCAUAUUCUCAUCUUUCAUACCAUAUCACACUACUACCACUUUUUGAAGAAUCAUCAAAGAGCAAUGCAAACGAAAAACACUAUAAUUUACUGUAUACUCUUUGUUUCAGGAUACUUGCCUUUUCAAUUGUCACUUGAUGAUAUAAUUGCAAUUUAAACUGUUAAGCUGUUUUCAGUACUGUUUCUGAAUAAUAGAAAUCACUUCUCUAAAAGCAAUAAAUUUCAAGCACAUUCUUACAUGUAUGCUCCUUAUUUUUCUCUUUUCUAUGUAUAGGAAUAAUGAUUUCUUUCAUCAUCUUCUUUCCCAGUUUGACUAGCACAGAUUGAAGCCCAUAAUGUCAGAGGUCCUUAUUU